GGAUGAUUGUCCGUGGAUGUGUACAUUCUGUGUACUGAGGGCCAGUCAGUCGUGGCGCUACCCCAAACAAAUGACCUACCAGGAAGCCUUAACCUGCCGAAUCUCAGACCACCAACUGGAAUGCCAGUACCUCCUGCUGUGUCUGUACCAUGCGGACGAGGAACACAUCGCUGUGGCAGAUCCUUGCAUCAAUGUGAGAAACUACACCAGUGUGAUAAAAACCCCUAUAUGGCUGGACAGGGUUGUGGAGAAGCUGCAGCAGAAUCUCUACCAGUCGGUGCAACACUUUGUGUCUGAUGUGUUGCUUAUCUUCACCAACUGUGCCACAUUUAACAGGGAUAAUGCAGAGUUCUGUGUGAUGGGCGAAAGAUUGAAGGAUCUAUUUGAGAGGGAGUUCAAGAGUACAUUCAGCAUCCAACUUCAGCAUCCAACUGCAUCCAACAGCCAGUAGAGCCUUCAUCAAGUCUGUACUGUUAUCUCACUAUGAGACAACAGGAAAUAUUCACCAUGCCCUGGUCUUUCUAUACAGCCUUCAUACAGACUUGCAUGUACAUUAUUAUCCAUCUAGUCCUUUCAUGAAUUUCUUUCAUUCGUUCUAGCAGUCAAAAUGGGUGUGUGAUGAUAAUUGAAAUUGAAUGAUGGUGAUAACAUUGCAUUUCACACAGUAAAUGUUGCUUUGCUAACUUCUCAUACAAGAGCCUUAGCAUUCCUCACCUUCCAGGUUCUUACUUCUGGUUAGGCCUCACUAGAUUCAUGUCCAGGGAUUCUAGCGAAAAUAAACUCAUGAAUUUCUAAAACAUUGUACAACAUAGUACUUGUUUGACUGUGUAGGCUACCAGAAUGUGGUUCUGUUGAGGAGAAUAUCAUCAGACAGAGCAGCAGCGCCCUCUUCAGGACAGUUAGGUCAGCGGGUGCUUUGGGUCUCUGCCCUCAUGCAGGACCUGCAUACGCUGCUAAUGUAACAGUUGUUAAAGUACUGUGUGAAUUUCACCAGGUUCAUAUAUUAAUAUGGCAUGUUGAUUUGUUAUUAUGCAUGCCUGCAUCCUGGGAGUAGGGGAGUGUGUACUUACAUUUUGCCCUGCGUGCUCGUGCUCAAAUCAUUUUGAUGUGCUAUGAGAGGUAGGCACGUUUUUUUCUGUCGUCUUCAGAAAAAUGUGAUUAUUUUAAGCACAAAGUCAUACACACUGUUUUGUUCAUGAAUAAUGUUGUAUAUUUAGAUGUUACUCAUAAGUUGAUGGUUUUGUUAAGAUGCACCUGUAACUACUUUUUAGGAUGAUAUUAACAUUAUGAAUUCAACAUAUGGUUCAUAGCUAGCUAAGGUAUUAGCAGGCUAUUGUAUGUGUGAACGAUGGCGAGCUCCUCGAAUGAUCCUAGUCCCUUGUGUUGUGCAUCUGUUGUAGAAAGAGGCGACGAUUCGCUGAACAAAUGUGCUCUACAAAUGUUUUAUUUCCUUUUGGAUGCAGGUAUGCGGUUUUAUCUAUGUAAAAUAUAUGUUAUGUGUGGAUGCAUAAUAAGGAGAGGCUGUACUAAUUUUUGUAUUCUAAAAUAAUUUUGAUGCGCGAUGAGAGAAAGAGGCGACGAUUCUCAGAACGUAUGUGGCUCUACAAAUGUUUUCUUUUCUUUUGGAUCCAGAUGCAGGAUGCAGAGAGUGAAUUCUGCUUAAUUAAAACAACCUGAUCUCCAAAGUCCACAUCUAUAGUCUCACAUACAGCCCAGAAUCAAACCAGGGUCUGUAAUGACACCUCUAGCACUGAGAUGCAGUGCCUUAGACCGCUGCGCCACUCAAAUCAUUUUUGGAUGAUCAUCUCUCUCAUUGAAUCAACAGAGGUGUAUUUCUCUUUGCAAAUAUCUCAAUCCUUUUCUCUUUUUUAACCUUUAUUUAACUAGGCAAGUCAGUUAAGAACAAAUUCUUAUUUACAAUGACGGCCUAGGAACAGUGGGUUAACAGUCUUGUUCAGGGGCAGAACGACAGAUUUUUACCUUGUCAGCUCAAGGAUCCCCGAUCAAGCAACCUUUCGGUUACUGGCCAAACGCUCUAACCGCUAGGCUACCUGCCGCCCCAAAACAUCCUUUAAGAAUUUAAAAGUAAUCCUCGAAGUAAUCACCUCGUUUUUCAAAAGUAUCUGUAAUCUGAUUACAAUACUUUAGCUGGUAAACGUUACGGAUUAUAGUUACCGGUUUACAUACGGAUUAUAUGUAAUUCAUUACAUGUAAGGGAUUACAAAAAACAGUAACUGUAAUCUGUUACUCCCCAAUCCUGACAUUAGGCUAUAACUAUCUCUGAAAUAUGAAUAGCAUUACUACACAGCACAGACCAUACACGUAUCGUUACUAGCUAGCCAGCCAGCUAAUGUUACCUAGCUAGCUAACAGUACACUUUAACUUGAAAUGAAAACGAUUUUCUGACAAAAUUAGAAAUGUAUAAUAUCUGAAAAUGUAGCUAGCUAGACUUUCUUACCCAUAUACAUGGAUGGAUGCUUCUCCCUCUCUGUCACAGAUGCCCUUAGUUUGAAGAUGUGAACAUUCUGUGCGUUCUCUUUUCGACUCUGUCUGCAAAUUGCAAUCAAACACCAUCAUUUUCUCCAUCUCCUUAGCUAUCAUACUAUAAUUCCACUGAUUUCAGAACUCGGUCCUCCGGAAAGUGGAGAGCAACACUUAUGCAGUUCUACUACUUGAUAUCUUUCAAAAAAGCAGUUUUAGAAAGGAUUACCUACACAUACUGACCAGCUAAUAUUAUAGACAGAAGUGUGCUACAUUGAAGACCAAUCUGAAUCUCUCGGCAUGUCCAGCCCACUCAUUAUCUCAGCCAAUCAUGGCUACCGGGAAGGUUGCUGACUUUUUCCAUGGCUAAACCAACUAGGCUGAAAGUUCACAUGUUCCAGAAGGCAUUUCUACUCAAAAAAUGCAUUUAAAAAAAUAACGUUUACGUUCAAAGGGUGCUCCUGUGAAGUAGUGAUACGCAACAUACGCCUAACUUCCUGAAACGAGUCACAUAUUGCAGCCUAAAUGUAAUUCUAUUUAAGUUAAUUACAUGUUUCAAAUGCAGAAGACUUAGAAGGUGAGCAUACUUUGCAAAGGGGCCCAACUUUGUGUGGCAUGUUGAUUCCUAUUGGUUACACAGACUUUUGGCCCCCUCAUCCUAUUCUAACCACCUCUCGCCAGCUUUGUUUUCAUGUUACCUGAUGAAAUUGCUGUAUAAUAUGAUCCUGUUGCCAUCUAAUGCACAUUCAAAUAUCAUAAAUCAACACUGCAGAGCUCUCCC
rnacentral:lncRNA from 1 species